GUGGCACGGAUUAGCGGCAAGUUAAACCUUCCUGAAUGAGUUACAUUGCAGCGAAGUGUUUCUGCUCUUAUCUGUCCUUUUGGUCGACCUGACAAUUUGCCUUAAAGCAAAACAAAGAUUUCCUGAUUUUUAAGGAAACUAUGACAAAUUGAAGAGUUGGAAAGACAAGGAAACUACCUAGGAGAUGUGCUCAACGUCACAUGGCGGUGUGGUAGAUGCAAAGCUUCCUAGAUGGAGAAUAGAACUGUUCCACUUCUGGCGUCUACCAGAAGUGGUAGAAGUGGCUUCUACCCAUGGCCUCCAGUGAUAUAGAGUAGAAAUCUUCUGAUGCCUUGAGGAGAGGGAAAGAAUCUACCUUAGCUUGAGAAGUGAAUCCUGAUUGGUUGAAC
rnacentral:lncRNA from 10 species